GAUGAAUGCUGGCGGUGUGUUUAAGGCAUGCAAGUCGAAUGGGUUUAGACCCAUGGCGAACGGGGUAGUAACGGGUAGGAACGUACCAUAGAGUCGCGAAUAACCCAUCGAAAGAUGGAAUAAUACGCGAUAUGUCUUCGGAUGAAAGAUUUAUCGCUCUAUGAUCGGCCUGCCUCGUAUCAGCUAGUUGGUAGUGUAAUGGACUACCAAGGCAAUGACGCGUAGGGGAGGUGAGAGCCUGACCCCCACCAAAGGAACUGAGACACUGUCCUUACUCCUACGGGAGGCUGCAGUCAAGAAUCUUCCGCAAUGCACGAAAGUGUGACGGAGCGACACCGCGUGGUGGAUGAAGGCCUUCGGGUCGUAAACACCUUUUGUACGUGAAGAAAUUUAUUGACAUUAGCGUAAGAAUAAGGGGCUCCUAAUCUGG
rnacentral:rRNA from 1 species